UACAGAGGGGGCAAGCGUUGUUCGGAAUUACUGGGCGUAAAGGGCGCGUAGGCGGCCUGCUAAGUCGCACGUGAAAUCCCCGAGCUCAACUCGGGAACUGCGUCCGAUACUGGCAGGCUUGAAUCCGGGAGAGGGAUGCGGAAUUCCAGGUGUAGCGGUGAAAUGCGUAGAUAUCUGGAGGAACACCGGUGGCGAAGGCGGCAUCCUGGACCGGCAUUGACGCUGAGGCGCGAAAGCCAGGGGAGCAAACGGG
rnacentral:rRNA from 1 species